GUAGGUGGCGAGCGUUGUCCGGAAUUAUUGGGGCGUAAAAGCGCGCGCAGGCGGUUCUUUAAGUCUGAUGUCGAAAAGCCCACGGCUCAAACCGUGGAGGGGUCAUUGGGAAACUGGGAGAACUUGAGUACAGAAGAGGAAAGCGGAAUUCCACGUGUAGCGGUGAAAUGCGUAGAGAUGUGGAGGAACACCAGUGGCGAAGGCGGCUUUCUGGUCUGUAACUGACGCUGAGGCGCGAAAGCGUGGGGAGCAAACAGGAUUAGAUACCCUGGUAGUCCACGCCGUAAACGAUGAGUGCUAAGUGUUAGGGGGUUUCCGCCCCUUAGUGCUGCAGCUAACGCAUUAAGCACUCCGCCUGGGGAGUACGACCGCAAGGUUG
rnacentral:rRNA from 1 species